GAGUUUAUGAAGGCGCUGGAUGAAGAUGGUGACGGUUCUGUUGAUUUUAAAGAAUACGUAGUUUUUGUCGCCACCUUGGCUAUGAUUUUGGGCACUACAAAAUAAUGAACAUAAACUGUCACUAGUGUUGUGGAGGUUUGAACAGGUUAAAGUGAAUAUGAUGUGAAAUGUCAAUGUUGAUUUUUAAACAAGGAAAAUUAAACUUUUUUCACACUUAA